GCCUCAAUGGUCUAAAGGCUUAGGACAUUCGCCCGGAAAGCAAAAAGAUCCGGAUUCGAAUCCCGGCUGAGGUA
rnacentral:tRNA from 1 species